UACGUAGGGGGCCAGCGUUGUCCGGAAUCAUUGGGCGUAAAGCGCGCGUAGGCGGUCAGGUAAGUCCGGUGUGAAAGUCAUAGGCUCAACCUAUGGAUGCCGCUGGAAACUGCCUGACUUGAGUCCGGGAGGGGCGAGUGGAAUUCCUGGUGUAGCGGUGAAAUGCGCAGAUAUCGGGAGGAACACCUAUGGCGAAGGCAGCUCGCUGGGACGUUACUGACGCUGAGACGCGAAAGCGUGGGGAGCAAACAGG
rnacentral:rRNA from 1 species